rnacentral:rRNA from 1 species
CACGCAGGCGGUCUUGCCAGUCAGAUGUGAAAGCCCGGGGCUCAACCCUGGAAGUGCAUUUGAAACUACAAGACUUGAGUAUGGUAGAGGAAAGGGGAAUUCCUGGUGUAGAGGUGAAAUUCGUAGAUAUCAGGAGGAACACCGGUGGCGAAGGCGCCUUUCUGGACCAAAACUGACGCUGAGGUGCGAAGGCGUGGGUAGCGAACAGGAUUAGAUACCCUGGUAGUCC